AGUGAACGCUGGCGGUAGGCCUAACACAUGCAAGUCGAACGGCAGCACAGUAAGAGCUUGCUCUUACGGGUGGCGAGUGGCGGACGGGUGAGGAAUACAUCGGAAUCUACUUUUUCGUGGGGGAUAACGCAGGGACACUUACGCUAAUACCGCAUACGACCUACGGGUGAAAGCAGCGGAUCUUCGGACCUCGCGCGAGUGAAUGAGCCGAUGUCGGAUUAGCUAGUUGGCGGGGUAAAGGCCCACCAAGGCGACGAUCCGUAGCUGGUCUGAGAGGAUGAUCAGCCACACUGGAACUGAGACACGGUCCAGACUCCUACGGGAGGCAGCAGUGGGGAAUAUUGGACAAUGGGCGCAAGCCUGAUCCAGCCAUGCCGCGUGGGUGAAGAAGGCCUUCGGGUUGUAAAGCCCUUUUGUUGGGGAAGAAGAGCAGCAAGUUAAUACCCCGCUGUUCUGACGGUACCCACAGAAUAAGCACCGGCUAACUUCGUG
rnacentral:rRNA from 1 species